rnacentral:rRNA from 1 species
ACGGGGGGUGCAAGCGUUAUUCGGAAUUAUUGGGCGUAAAGAGCGCGUAGGCGGUCUUUUAAGUCAGAUGUGAAAGCCCGGGGCUCAACCCCGGAAGUGCAUUUGAAACUAGAGGACUUGAGUAUGGGAGAGGGAAGUGGAAUUCCUGGUGUAGAGGUGAAAUUCGUAGAUAUCAGGAGGAACACCGGUGGCGAAGGCGACUUCCUGGACCAAUACUGACGCUGAGGCGCGAAGGCGUGGGGAGCAAACAGGAUUAGAUACCCUGGUAGUCCACGCAGUAAACGUUGAUCACUAGGUGUAGCGGGUAUUGACCCCUGCUGUGCCGCAGUUAACGCAUUAAGUGAUCCGCCUGGGGAGUACGGUCGCAAGAUUA